rnacentral:lncRNA from 1 species
GUUAAAUGAUCUAUAUCCGAGUUUAAGUGUUAUGUAGUUGACUUUGCCAUAUGUGGAGAUUCUUGAAUUUGUUAGAGAAGUGGAUUGUUAAUUUGUUAUCCUAAUAUUUCUACUGCUUAUCGGAUCUUAUUCACCAUGCCCGUGACUAUGGCAUCAGCUGAAAAAAGCUUUUCAAAGCUGAAAUAGUUGAAGAUCCAUUUGAGAUAUGUAACAUCUCUUUCUCCCGUUUCUAUUUCUCCCGCAAAGGCCUCUGUACCAGGCCGCCGCACACCGCCCUCCUUUCCCCGGCCUUCAUCCCACGAGGGCCUCCGCACCAGGCCCCCGCCGCCACCUCCUCUGCAUGAACUGCCGCCGCCCCCUCCCUCCUCCGUGGGAACCACUGCCACUACCUCCCUCCACCGUGUGAGCCGCUGCCACCUCCCUCCGCAAACCGAUGCCGCCUCCCUCCUCCGCGUGCACAGCUGCCGCCUCCCUCCGUGCUGCUGCGUCGGCGGCGAUGGAAGGAAGGUGGCGCUGGCUCCGGAGCGGGAGGGAAUAAGGGGGCGGGCAGCGCCGACAUCCGGACCUGGUGUUUCUGUUCAAGUGGGGGUGAUGUGCGGCGACGAAGGUGGACGUGCAGUUGGUGCUGGUUGGCCAAGAUGGGGUGGUUGUGUUUGCCCUUCUAUGUGUUGAUCACCACGGCAGCGUCCUGGUACGAGCUUUCCGCUUUCUUCACCGGGC